AGGACUAACGCUGGCGGCGUGCCUAACACAUGCAAGUCGAACGAGGGUAGGCAAUACCCUAGUGGCAGACGGGUGAGUAACACGUAGUCAACCUACCUCUUAGUGGGGGAGUAACUAAUCGAAAGGUUAGCUAAUACCGCAUACGAUCGUCGAGGGGCAUCUCUUGACGAUGAAAGGAGCAAUCCGCUUAGAGACGGGACUGCGUCCCAUUAGUUAGUUGGUGGGGUAACGGCCUACCAAGACAUCGAUGGGUAGCUGGCUUGAGAGAGCGACCAGCCACACUGGAACUGAGACACGGUCCAGACUCCUACGGGAGGCAGCAGUGAGGAAUUUUUCCGCAAUGGGGGAAACCCUGACGGAGCGACGCCGCGUGUGGGAAGAAGGCCUUCGGGUCGUAAACCACUGUCGAAGGGGACGAUAUUGACGGUACCCUUGGAGGAAGCCCCGGCUAACUACCGUGCCAGCAGCCGC
rnacentral:rRNA from 1 species